rnacentral:rRNA from 1 species
UGGGGAAUAUUGGACAAUGGGUGAGAGCCUGAUCCAGCCAUGCCGCGUGCAGGAAGAAGGCGUUAUGCGUUGUAAACUGCUUUUUGCCAGGGGAUAAAAAGACUCUGCGGAGUUUAUUGAAGGUACCUGGUGAAUAAGCCACGGCUAACUACGUGCCAGCAGCCGCGGUAAUACGUAGGUGGCAAGCGUUGUCCGGAUUUAUUGGGUUUAAAGGGUGCGUAGGCGGCCCUGUAAGUCAGUGCUGAAAUAUCCCGGCUUAACCGGGGAGGGUGGCAUUGAUACUGCAGGGCUUGAGUACAGAUGAGGUAGGCGGAAUUGACGGUGUAGCGGUGAAAUGCAUAGAUAUCGUCAAGAACACCGAUAGCGAAGGCAGCUUACCAAGCUGUAACUGACACUGAGGCACGAAAGUGUGGGGAUCAAACAGGAUUAGAUACCCCCGUAGUCCCUGAGCGGGCUGGCAAGGCGCAU